GCUAGAUCUUCUGUACAACAUUUAAUUUCUGUUAAUUAACCAGCAUUUGAUCUUUUGUUUAGCCUUAUUUCAAUACAUCAAAAUCAUCCCACCUUCCAACAUGUAAAUAGCCCAUAAGAUACCUGUUCAGGAAGUGGGAAAAAUGCAAUUUGAAUAUCAAACACCUUGUACAAAAUCAAAGGUUAGCUAAAUAUUCUAAUUCUACUUUCUUAGCAUGGCCUGCAUGGACGGUAUAAUAUGAAUAUUUUCAAUGCUUAUAAUUUCUUACUUUUGUAUGUAUAAUUAUAAUACUGUCUGUGGCAAAGCUAGCCAUAACAUUUAUAUUUGCAUUAUCCAAAUGAUAUACUGUAGCAUGACCAGUUGCCAUGGCAAGCUAAUUGCCACUAAAUACUGUAUAAU